rnacentral:tRNA from 1 species
UCCCUGAUGGCUCAGAUGGUAAAGCAUCUGCCUGCAAUGAGGGAGACCUGGGUUCAAUCCCUGGUUUGGGAA